UAAUGUCGACAGAAUACAGCGACAACACAUGGCGUUGGGGAGAGGGUCCUACGUUGUCUCAGGCUCGCUCUGGCCCCACCACGCACAUCACGUCACAUGUGCCUCUCUGCUCUCUUUUGUCUUCUUCUGCUACCCUUACACGUGCAUCUGCUGCUCCCACAACACAAUAUCAAACUUGACAAUAAGUCAACGCCUCUCUCUUCAAAGGCUAGCCCAGCUCACUACACAAAUGUUUCGGCC
rnacentral:lncRNA from 1 species